GGCUUCUUCUUGGCUGUAAAUUGUAAAAUUUGCCUCAGACAAUCUCGGGACGCCGAGAGAGAAGGCAGCUUGGCCUGGGAGCCAUUCUGAAGGCCUGGGUCGGAAGAAAGAAAGAAAGAAAGAAAGAAAGAAAGAAAGAAAGAAAGGGCAGCCGCGGCGAGAAGGCCCGAAGAGACAGGCUCCGUUUCUGAAGCAGAAAUGGCAAAGCCUUGUGAAACGGACGGAAGAAAUAAAGGCAAAAUUUUUGAAAAUUUCCACAGCUUUUUCUGAAGGGACCAGCGCUGAAUUCAAGUCAACGUGAAGAAAGAAACAAAAGGUCGAGAGACAGAGGACGGAAGAUGCUUGAAGACACCCUCGCAAGGACACCGCCUGCCUCCCAAAAAAGGUCGUUUUCAGGGUAAUUGGUGUAAGGGUAGGCAUUUAAUGUCUAUCUUUGCAUUAAAAAAAGGGUUACCUUUGCACACGGUUCCCCUCGCGUGUGGCAUCGAAGAAGUCCCACUCGGGAACGGACGGGUCCUCCCUUUGUUCUAGGCAGAUGAUGGGUCUUCCUAUACGGGCCGUAGGGGUCACAGCUUGGGGGUCAGCGGGGGGGCCCGCCCUGGCAUCGCGGGGGGCAGCACACGUUACGGGCAUUUUAAGAUGUCCUUGCAACUUAGAAAUAAAAAUAUUAAUACCUUAACUCACUUACUAACAUCCUACUAACACCAUUCUAAAUAGGGUACCCUGGCCUUUUAAAUAGGACUGUGUUCUGCCUGAUGGCAAGAACCAAGCUGGGAAGGGAGGGGGCCUCCUGGCCCCCCAUAAAAGGGCCCCCAUGGAAGGACAUUGCAAAAGGCCCCUAAGGUGUCCUGAGAGCAGCCUCUUGGUCCUUAGUGUGUUCCCCACGGUGCCAGGGCUGGGCCCCUCGCUCUCCCCCAACCCAUGGACCCUGCCGCUUGUAUAUCAUCCGUCCAGGGCCAACGGACGCCCCCUCCCUCCCCGGGCGGAGCUUCGAGGCCACACUCAAGGGGAGACCAGAGCCGUGUGCCUCAUGCCAACGCCUAGCACGUGGCGAACCUUUUUUUUUACUGCAAACAUAGGCAUCAUGAUUGUGAUUUUUGUUAAUUCCUUUUAAAUUUAAUUGUUUGUAUUUGAUAGCAUGAUAGGCUGGUUUUAUAUCAGUGAGCCGCCCCGAGUCCCUCUGGGGAGACGGUGGCAGGGUACAAAAAUAAAAUUAUUAUUAUUAUUAUUAUUGAUUCGAGGCACCUGGAAAAAGAAAUACCAGGAAGCAGGUAAAAUUAUUAUUAUUAUUGAUUCGAGGCACCUGGAAAAAGAAAUACCAGGAAGCAGAUAAAAUUAUUAUUAUUAUUAUUAUUAUUAUUAUUAUUGAUUACAGGCACCUGGAAAAAGAAAUACCAGGAAGCAGAUAAAAUUAUUAUUAUUAUUAUUAUUGAUUACAGGCACCUGGAAAAAGAAAUACCAGGAAGCAGAUAAAAUUAUUAUUAUUAUGAUUAUUAUUAUUAUUGAUUCCACGAAAAAGAUAUACCAGGAAGCAGAUAAAAUUAUUAUUGUUAUUGUUCUUGUUAUUAUUAUGUAGGACCCCCUUUUAUUUAUGUAAGGCCACACACCCAGGGGACCACUAUUCCUAAUUAAAGCCUGGUUAAAGGGGAUCCUCUAUUCUUAAAGUUAGGCGUAUAGAGAUCUCCUAUCCAGAAACUAAUGCGGCCUGCCCUAUAGAGAUCUGUUAAACCAAGGCGGCCUGCCCUAUAGAGAUCUCCUAUUUCACGUAACACCAGGCAAUAUGGAGAUCCCUGGUUUUUUUAACCUUUAAGUCCCUUACGUGGGGAUAUCCCUGGUUAUUUUAACCUUUAAGUCCCUUACGUGGGGAUAUCCCUGGUUAUUUUAACCUUUAAGUCCCUUACGUGGGGAUAUCCCUGGUUAUUUUAACCUUUAAGUCCCUUACGUGGGGAUAUCCCUGGUUAUUUUAACCUUUAAGUCCCUUACGUGGGGAUAUCCCUGGUUAUUUUAACCUUUAAGUCCCUUACGUGGGGAUAUCCCUGGUUAUUUUAACCUUUAAGUCCCUUACGUGGGGAAAUCCCUGGUUUUUAUAACCGUUAAAUCCCUUACAUGGGGAUAUCCCUGGUUAUUUUAACCUUUAAGUCCCUUUCGUGGGGAUAUCCCUGGUUAUUUUAACCUUUAAGUCCCUUACGUGGGGAAAUCCCUGGUUUUUUUAACCUUUAAGGCCAGAUGUGGGGAUUUCCUUGCUUCUUUUAACCCGUAAGGCCAGCCAUGGGGAGAUAUCUUAGGCUGUUUUCACGAAAAGUCAGGUAUAGACGCACUGUUUUCUCUCCCGUUCCAUGUGCCUGGACUCCCGGAGGGCUCCUGCCGGACACCGUCUCCCAUCGGCCGAGAGGGAUCCUUCCUGUCUGGGAAGGAUCUGCAACACAGGUAAAAAGAAGAUUCCGGGAAGGAGAUUCUACAGCGGAGCCCUUAAGCCAGGUGAGACACUCCUUCCAGCCUCCACGGCUGCCUUGCGCACACACACACACACACGACACACACAAACACACAUGACACACACAAACACACAUGACACACACAAACACAUACACAUGUACAGCUGGUGCCCACGGGGACUCUUCCCCAAUAGAUCGGGGACUCCCACUCCGGCGAUUGGCCAUUGUAAAUGCCUUGAAGCAGUUUGGGGCUUCCGGCCAAGCGCUUGCAAAGAGAAUCCAUUCAAGGUUGGACCCCUUUUAAAGGGCCUGGCACGUGGUAUUUAUUCCUGGCACGUGGAAAACUCCAUUUGUAAGGCAAACCCUCGUUAAAGGAGGUUUGCAAUUAGUUUAAAACCAGGCUUCUGAGGGACCCGCUGCGUUUAAAGCCAAACCUAGCAGGUGGGAACCCCUUGGUUAACGUAAGGCAAGGGACCCUCCCUAUUUAAUAAGAUGCCUGGCAGAAUCUUAACCUAAAUGCAGGCCUAUGGGCUACAGCCUAUUCUGCAUAGCCAGGCAUGGGGGGACCCCAGAUUAUUAACUUGAAGCCUGGGAAAAGGAGAUUUUUGUAUUUAUUUAUUUAUUUAUUUAUUACAAGAUUUAUAUCCGGCCCUCUCUCCCCUUAAAAGGGGACUCAGAGCGGCUUACAAGUGAUAUUUACAUAUUUAUUACAAUAUUUAUAUCCCACCCUCUAUCCUUAAAAGGGGACUCAGAGCGGCUUACAAGUGAUAUUUACAUAUUUAUUUAUUACAAUAUUUAUAUCCCACCCUCUAUCCUUAAAAGGGGACUCAGAGCGGCUUACAAGUGAUAUUUACAUAUUUAUUUAUUACAAUAUUUAUAUCCCGCCCUCUCUCUCCUUAAAAGGGGACUCAGAGCGGCUUACAAGUGAUAUUUACAUAUUUAUUUAUUACAAUAUUUAUAUCCCACCCUCUAUCCUUAAAAGGGGACUCAGAGCGGCUUACAAGUGAUAUUUACAUAUUUAUUUAUUACAAUAUUUAUAUCCCACCCUCUAUCCUUAAAAGGGGACUCAGAGCGGCUUACAAGUGAUAUUUACAUAUUUAUUUAUUACAAUAUUUAUAUCCCGCCCUCUCUCUCCUUAAAAGGGGACUCAGAGCGGCUUACAAGUGAUAUUUACAUAUUUAUUUAUUACAAUAUUUAUAUCCCGCCCUCUCUCCCCUUAAAAGGGGACUCAGAGCGGCUUACAAGUGAUAUUUACAUAUUUAUUUAUUACAAUAUUUAUAUCCCACCCUCUAUCCUUAAAAGGGGACUCAGAGCGGCUUACAAGUGAUAUUUACAUAUUUAUUUAUUACAAUAUUUAUAUCCCGCCCUCUCUCUCCUUAAAAGGGGACUCAGAGCGGCUUACAAGUGAUAUUUACAUAUUUAUUUAUUACAAUAUUUAUAUCCCGCCCUCUCUCUCCUUAAAAGGGGACUCAGAGUGGCUUACAAGUUAUAUUUACAUAUUUAUUUAUUACAAUAUUUAUAUCCCGCCCUUCUCACCCAACAGCGGACUCAGGGCGGCUCAACAAUAACUCCCAUAUAUAAAAACCACACAGUGCAAUAUAAAUCAUCACUAACUUACAUCAGUAUUCAUAAAACACAUUAUAAAAUACAGAUAGGUGUGUUCAGUUCAAAUCCAUUCAAGGUAUACGUGGACCCCCUUUUAAUGCCAACCUUUCCACGUGGAAAACUAUUUGUAAGGCAAACCCUCGUUAAAGGAGGUUUGCAAUUAAUUUAAAACCAGGCUUCUGAGGGAUCCGCUGCGUUUAAAGCCAAACCUAGCAGGUGGGAACCCCUUUGGUUAACGCAAGGUGAGGGACCCUCCAUUUUUAAUAGGAUGCCUGGGAGAAUCUUAACCUAAAAGCAGGCCUAUGGGCUACAGCCUAUUCUGCAUAGCCAGGCAUGGGGGGACCCCAUAUGAUUAAUUUGAAGCCUGGUAAAAGGAGAUUUUUGUAUUUAUUACAUUUAUAUCCCGCCCUCUCUCCCCUUAAAGGGGACUCAGGGCAGCUUAACAAUAAGACGCAUAUAUAAAAAACCAUACAGUGCAAUGUAAGUCAUCAUUAACUUACAUCAGUAUUCAUAAAACACAUCAUAAAAUACAGAUAGGUGUAUUACAUACACUGUAUCAUUAGCAUCGCACAAUAUUAGCAUUAUAUAUUACUACACUGCAUUAUACCACUAUACAGAAAUGUUAUUAGCAAUAUUACAUUUAAUAUAUUAUAUGUAAUUCAUAUUAUUAUAUUGUAUCAUUGUUAGUAUUAUAUUGCAUUAUUUAUUUAUUUGCUAGAUGUAUAUGCUGCCCUUCUCACCCCCAAGGUGAACAGCUUACAAAAUAAAUUUACAUACAAUAUUAUAUUAUUACCAUAGUACAAUACUGGCAGUAAAUUACUAUAUUGUACUAUAUGAAUAUAUGGUAAUGUUAUUAGUAGUAUUACAUGCAAAAUGUAAUACAUAAUUAAUAUUAUUAUAUUUUAUUAUUAGUAUAUCGUAUUACAAUAUAAUAAUAUGAACAUUAUAUGUAUAUGCAAUAUGUUAUAAUUAUAUAUUAAAUUAUAUAUACACACACACACAGUAGUCAUCCAACAUAAAAGGGCCAGCGAAUAUUUAUUUAUUUAUUUACAGCAUUUUACCGGGCUGGCCUCAAACUCAUGACCUCCUGGUCAGAGUGAUUUGUUGAUAUUUAUUUAUUUACAGCAUUUAUAUUCCGCCCUUCUUUCUCACCCCGAAGGGGACUCAGGGCGGAUCACAUGACACAUAUAGGCAAACAUUCAAUGCCUUUUAACAUAGAACAAAGACAAACAAACAGGCUCCGAGCGGGCCUCGAACUCGUGACCUCCUGGUCAGAGUGAUUCAUUGCAGUUAAUUGCAGCUGGCUUGCUUUCCAGCCUGCGCUGUUGGAUAAUAAGGAGGCAUUAUGGAAAAGCCUAUUAAACAUCAAAUUAGUUGAUGAUUUUACAAAUUAAGCACCAAAACAUCAUUUGACAGAAAAAGUAGUUCAAUACGCAGUAAUGCUAUGUAGUAAUUACUGUAUUUACGGAUUUAGCACCAAAAUAUCACAACGCAUUGAAAACAUGGACUACAAAAAUGCGUUGGAUAAUCCAGAAUGUUGGAUAAUCCAGAAUGUUGGAUGAGACUACUGUAUAUACAAUAUAAAUUAGAAUAGCAUGUUAUUGGGGGAGGAGCAUCUUGGUUAUUAGAUGUUUAUAUUAGUUAUUGAUAUUAGUAUAGAUAUGACAUUGAGUAUAUUAUUAUCCUAGCACAAUGUUAAUAUUAGUUAUUCAUAUUAGUCUCAAUAUGACAUUAAUAGUAUAUUAUUAUCCUAGCACAAUGUUAUUACAUAGGACUAUGUUGUUGCUAGGGGGAGGGCCCUCCCACUGAGAUCCCCUGUCAUUAAUGUGUCAGACCAGGCAUUUCACUCCUACCUUUGCAUCAGAAAGCAGGCUCCCUGUGCGCUAGGCCUUCCUUUGAGGAACACAUUCACGGCUCCGCUUGAGUGUGGCAUUGAGGCCCCACUCUGGGACGGGCGGGUCCUCCUUUGCCCUGUGCAGAUCGUGGGGGGGGGGGCGGAUCUCCCUAGACGGGCAGGGGGUUGCGGCUGGCGGGACAGCGGGAUAUAAAAAUAUAAAUAUAUAUAUUAAAACCCUUGCACCCAAGGAAACAACUCUGGGGACCCGAGCGGCCGCUCCCAGCGCACGUCACGGGCAUUUUAAACAUCUCGUAGCAGCUCAGAUUAAUACCUAAACUAACCUUAACCUGCUAACCCUACUAACCCAAUUCUUAACUAGAGCAGCACUUGUAAAUAGGGCUGUUUUUGCCUGUUGGCAAGAACCAAGUUGGGAGGGGGCCUCUGGGCCUCGGGUGGGAAGAAGGCCCCCCUGUCCCUGCCCUGCGCUGGGAGCGCCCCCCCUCGGGACCCCAGUGUUUAGGUCGCCGGAUUGGAGGAGAGCGGGGACCAGAAAGCCCCUCCGCCAUCCGCCCAGGGCCAAUGGACACCCCUCCCUCCCUCCCCGGCAGCCGCGUUCCUCAUGCAACAGGGAGCCUGGUUCUGGAUGCAAACGUGGGACCCCCUUAGGACCCCCUUUUCUCUGUGCAGGGACCCCCACUCCCCAUAAAUAAAUGCCUGGUGGAAGGGGAUCCUCUGUCCUGGGGAGAAAAAGCGACAUGCGUCAAGCUGUGGCUUUGCUCCCGCAGUUCCCAAGAGCCCCCAAAAGCGAGAUGCUCCCUUGGUUCUGCCCUUCUGACACUUGUUUUCUCCCUUGUUCCAUGUCUCCGGAAUCGCCGAGGGAGGGAGGGGCAGAGGGGCUCCUCCUGGACAAGAGCCACGGACGGACGGACGGACGGACAGACGGACGGAGAUCACGGAGAGCAGGACGCCUUGCCUUUCCGGAUGCUGAGCUCGACCCCUUUCCAACAAUGUCAGCGUUUAAGAAUAAAACUUCCCAAAAAAAGGUGUUUUCUGGUUAUUAUUCAAACAUUGAAUUUUUGGCAGCCUUAAACAUCUAGAUUACAAUACAGUUUGUGCUGCUGCCUUUUAUAAACCUCGUUUUCUACAAAUAAAGUCAAGAGAAAUACUAUAAGUUUUGCACUGUGCUCAGACUCAUUGUUCUGAUAGGCUGUUAUAUGGUUAUUAUUGAAAGGCAUAAUGAGUUUUUGGCAGCAUGAAACAUCUAGAUUACAAUACACUUUGUGCUGCUGCCUUUUAUAAAUCUUGUUUUCUACAAAUAAAGUUGAGAGAAACACCUGUAUAAGUUUUGCACUCAUUGUUCUGAUAUUCUGUUAUAUGGUUUUAUUGUUAAUAUUGUUUUUAAUGUAUGACUUUAUUACAUGUGACAUGGGAGCAGGAUAUAAAAAUGAAGUAUUAUUAAUAAACACCACAAUUUUCUUGCACCCCAAGUACACCUGGCCAGUGCCAAAAAGUAUUUAACUCUGCCUACAUGGCACUAAAGUGUAUUUAUCUAUUGAUUGUAUGUAAUGUUUGCUUUAUUUGCAUUGAAUUUUUGCCUAGAUGUAUCUUGUAUGCCGCUCAUCUCCAUAAAUGAGCGGGAUACAAAUGAGGUUAAUAAUAAUGUUACGAAUGUUUUAAUGUAACUCGAAUUUUAAAUUGAAUUGAAAUGUGAUUGUAAUUGUUUAUAAGCCACCCUAUUUGUCAGCCACCCUGAGUCUCCCCUUAUUGGGUGAGAAGGUCUGGGAAGAAAUACUGUCAUAAAUAAAUAAAAUAUUCUGUGUCCA